UCCUGUGCUAGUAGCAUGCAUUGUUAUUUAAAGCAAAUUUCUUUGUAGUGAGCCUUCUGAAAGAUAUCCCAUGGAAGCCCAAAACCUCUCAAAUUUCCCUAAUAUUUCUGUGGCCUGUGCAACGUAUGCAUUUUCAUAGAAAAUGUUAUUUUUAUGUUUCAAAUUGGUUGGUGAGUAAAAGAUAAUGUGUGAAAAUGUUAGGCGGGGGCAUUAGCGAAACUAACUUCAUAAAUCCCAACUUUUCUCUUGUUUCUCCUUUUAUGAGGAACUUGUGAUUUGUCUUCAAUUACAAAAUGAAUGUAUUCAACAUACUUAAUGAGAAAUUCACAAGU
rnacentral:misc_RNA from 1 species